UACGUAGGCAGCAAGCGUUGUUCGGAGUUACUGGGCGUAAAGGGUGUGUAGGCGGUUGUUUAAGUUUGGUGUGAAAUCUCCCGGCUCAACUGGGAGGGUGCGCCGAAUACUGAAUGACUCGAGUGCGGGAGAGGAAAGUGGAAUUCCUGGUGUAGCGGUGAAAUGCGUAGAUAUCUGGAGGAACACCGGUGGCGAAGGCGGCAUCCUGGACCGACACUGACGCUGAGGCGCGAAAGCGUGGGGAGCGAACAGG
rnacentral:rRNA from 1 species